rnacentral:lncRNA from 1 species
UCUCUCUCUCUAGAUGCUAUUAGACCUUCAAUGGCUUCUCCUCUCGGCCUUAUGAUGAUUCUACAAUCUGAAGGUUCAAAAAUUAAUUUUUAAUAUGUUUUGGCCGUUCCUAUUCAUUUAUUUGUUUUUUGUUCCGUUUUAAAUUUGUUUUUCAUUUUAUUGGGAUUCUUCACUAAAUCGGUUGUUCUUCCGUUUCUCUGACAUUUGGAAAUUUUUAUUUAUUUAUUUAGCUUCUGAAAUUUAUUUUGGAGAACAAGAGUAACAUCUGUUAAUCAAAUAGUAAUCUC